rnacentral:rRNA from 1 species
CGGGUGAGUAAUACAUCGGAACGUGUCUUCUAGUGGGGGAUAACUGCCCGAAAGGGCAGCUAAUACCGCAUGAGACCUGAGGGUGAAAGCGGGGGAUCGCAAGACCUCGCGCUGGAAGAGCGGCCGAUGUCCGAUUAGCUAGUUGGUGAGGUAAAGGCCCACCAAGGCGACGAUCGGUAGCUGGUCUGAGAGGACGACCAGCCACACUGGGACUGAGACACGGCCCAG